ensembl:lncRNA
CAGCAGAUAUCUUGACUUGCCACUCAGUAUAUCAGUAAUGUUCAGAAUAGUACCUGUACAUUCUCUGAUUCCAUAAUGUAAUAGAAUAGUACAGUACUGUAUAAUAUAAUAUAAUAGUUCAGUACUGUAUAAUGUAAUAGAAUAGUUCAGUACUGUAGAAUGUAAUAGAAUAGUUUAGUACUGUAGAAUAUAACAGAAUGGUACUGUAGAGUAUAAGUAUUGUUCCUGUGAGCGAACAUCAAGAAGAAAUUAAAACAUAUAUUUAUAAUAUUCUCAGCCUUCAUAUAAAAUAUGACUGGACAUCGAGGCUGUUUCAGAAAUACAAUGUUAUUGUGUUCAGAUUCUGUUCCAUGUUACUUAAAACAUGAAUGGAAAAAUAUUUAACAUAAAAAUGAUUUACAAUGUUCCCCCUCUUUGAGAUGAUUCUGUAUUAUGAAAAGUGCUUGACAAAUGUAAUUUAUUAUUAUUAUUAUUAUUAUCUUAUUCAUCAUAGUUUAAAAGGCAAAACUGACUCUAGAUCAGCACUCCAACUAAGUGGGAAUACAGUAGUCCUGUGGCUCAGUUGGUAGAGUAUGGUGAAUGGGUCCCAAUGGGACCACCGGCAUGAAAGAUGUAUCCACACAUAAUAAGUCACUUUGGUUAAAAGUGUUUCUAAAUGGCAUAUCUUAUGAUAUAAUAAUAUCACUUAGUUGGACUAUACAGGUCCAGAUAUACAGGGUUUAUGUCAAACUUGUGUUCAGGUCCUCUUGGUUCUGGGUUUGUUGUGUUCAGGUCCUCUUGGUUCUGGGUUUGUUGAGUUCAGGUCCUCUUGGUUCUGGGUUUGUUGUGUUCAGGUCCUCUUGGUUCUGGGUUUGGUGUGUUCAGGUCUUCUUGGUUCUGGGUUUGUUGUGUUCAGGUCCUCUUGGUUCUGGGUUUGUUGUGUUCAGGUCCUCUUGGUUCUGGGUUUGUUGUGUUCAGGUACUCUUGGUUCUGGGUUUGGUGAGUUCAGGUCCUCUUGGUUCAGGGUUUGUUGUGUUCAGGUUCUCUUGGUUCUGGGUUUGUUGCGCUCAGGUCUUCUUGGUUCAGGGUUUGUUGUGUUCAGGUUCUCUUGGUUCUGGGUUUGGUGAGUUCAGGUCCUCUUGGUUCAGGGUUUGUUGUGUUCAGGUUCUCUUGGUUCUGGGUUUGUUGCGUUCAGGUCUUCUUGGUUCAGGGUUUGUUGUGUUCAGGUUCUCUUGGUUCUGGGUUUGUUGCGUUCAGGUCCUCUUGGUUCUGGGUUUGUUGUGUUCAGGUCCUCUUGGUUCUGGGUUUGUUGUGUUCAGGUCUUCUUGGUUCUGGGUUUGUUGCGUUCAGGUCUUCUUGGUUCUGGGUUUGUUGCGUUCAGGUCUUUUUGGUUCUGGGUUUGUUGUGUUCAGGUCUUCUGGGUUUGUUGACUCUACUAUAGAUCUCAGAAGAGUCCUCCUCAGCUGCUUGUGCUGCCGUGGGUCUGAAGAGAGAGAAACAGAAAUUUAACAGAAUCUGCAUCCCCCUAAAAAACCUUCAUAUACUCUUUUUAGUGCAUUACUUUGACCAAGGCCUAUAUGGCUCUGGUGAAAAGUAGCACACUAAAUUGAGAAUAGGGUUCCAUUUGGAACACAGAACAGUUCCUCAAAACCACCACUCUCUCAUUAUAUCGUUGGGUUUGUAAGGAAAUGCCAUCACUAGUGGCCACUAGUGGUCAACUAUUUUGCUUAUUAAUGACGUCAUGGUCUUCUCGUCCAAUAAGCAGCAGCAUAUGAAUGAGCUGUAAUCAAGAAUAAAGCUUGUUUACAACCAAAUCUAGAAACAUAUGUAACUGGAAUGUUAUAGGAGGGUCAGAUUUUCUUUGGGCGAAUUCACUCGUUUUUGAGAAACUAUCCUCAACCAUCUAUUCACUUCCUCAUCCUCGUUGUUCAGUCAGUGGGCUCCAAAAACACCCAAAACAUCCUUUUAGAGCCUAAAAAGCUCUAAGUAGUCUAUAGUGAUGCAUGUCUUUAGAUGUUGUACACAUGACAUGGUGUCAUUCUGAACUUAAUCCGUAACGUCAUGUUCCAUGUUGUUGACACUUGAACGAUGCUUCUCGUCCAUUCUAUCAGCCUGAUACACUGAGAAUAGAACAGUUGGACGGAGAAACAGCAGGAGUCACACAAAACGGAAUAUAACGUUGUGGAUAAAGUUCAGAAUGACACAAUGUCAUGUGUACAACUGUUACAUCUAAAGACCUGCAUCACUAUACUGAGAUAUUUCUGUUUCUAAAAGGACGUAUUAGGGGGUUUUUGGAGCAUUUGUUCAUGUUUUUUCAGAGCCUCUUUACUGCACAACGAGGAUGAGGAAGUGAAUGGCUGGUUGGGGAAAGUUUCUCUAAAACAAGUGAAAU